rnacentral:lncRNA from 1 species
GGUGCUGGAGGUGCCACCACCCAACCAGGCGGUGCCACCGCCCAGCGCUCGGGUGCUGGACGGUGCAACCGCCCAGCCAAGGAGGUGUCACCGCCCAGCUCUCGGGUGCUGGGCGGUGCCACCGCCCAGCUAGGCGGUGCCACCGCCCAGCUAGGCGGUGCCACCGCCUACAGUGUUUUCAGCCCGACUACAGUGUUUUCAGCCACUAGUUGGGCUUCAAUCUUGGCUCUCUAGUUCGCUGGUUUAGCUUAAUUUUUAGCCUAAACCAACUCUGACUUUGGGCCCAGUUGGCCCCUAACCAGGAUAUAGGAUUAUCUCUUAAUCCUAAUCCUAAUUACAAGUGGACUACAUAACCAAAACACAUCCUAAGCAAAUUUUCAACCGCGAACGUCGAGUCUUGUUCUGGCGAGCUUUCCGACGAACUUUCUGCCGACGGGCUUCUAGCAAGCUCCCGAACUUGUGAUGACUUUAAUGAGUAGCCGAGCCUUCUCGGUGAUCUCCGUGAACCUCCGACGAUCUCUUCGGCGAACUUCCGAAAAUUCCGAUAGGUUCCCGAUUUCUUCUCGGUUGGUUCUAGCAGCAUCUCCGACGAUUCUUCGGACUCUUAAACGUCCAUCGAACUUGACUCCGGUAUUCUCGCUUUGUGUUUUCUGGUUAUCGUAGUUAAUCCUGCACACUUAACUCAAUAAUAUGGAUUAGAUCAAAUAACCCAUCAAUUGAUUUUAUCAUCAAAAUCCGAGAUUCAACAAUCUCCCCCUUUUUGAUGAUGACAAUCAAUUGAUGACGGAGUUAAAUGUAACUCCCCCUAUCUAUAUGCCAUAUUAUGAGAAGAUAAAACACUUGAAUUUCAUCAUUGAAUUCAAGUAUAAACCGAUAAGCUCUAACCGUAGAACUUAUCGUUAUUCUCAUUAAGCAUAAUGUAAAUGCGAAACUUUGAUGAAAAUCUUUUU